rnacentral:rRNA from 1 species
GUCCCGGCUGUAACGGUGUAUACUUGGUGUGGGAGGAUUUAUCCCCUUCCGUGCCGGAGCUAACGUGUUAAGUAUACCGCCUGGGGAGUACGGUCGCAAGAUUAAACUCAAAGGAAUUGACGGGGCCCGCACAAGCGGUGGAGCAUGUGGCUUAAUUCGAUGCAACGCGAAAACCUUACCUGGGUUCGAAGUGUAUGAUCAUAUCGGGAUGAAAGUCCCGAGUCGGUUCGGCCGGUUCAUACAAAGGUGCUGCAUGGCUGUCGU